AACGCGAAGAACCUUACCUGGCCUUGACAUGUACCGAAUUUAGCAGAGAUGCUUUAGUGCUCGAAAGAGAACGGUAACACAGGUGCUGCAUGGCUGUCGUCAGCUCGUGUCGUGAGAUGUUGGGUUAAGUCCCGCAACGAGCGCAACCCUUGCCAUUAAUUGCCAUCAUUUAGUUGGGCACUUUAAUGGGACUGCCGGUGACAAACCGGAGGAAGGUGGGGAUGACGUCAAGUCCUCAUGGCCCUUAUGGCCAGGGCUUCACACGUAAUACAAUGGUCGGUACAGAGGGAAGCCAACCCGCGAGGGGGAGCCAAUCUCAGAAAGCCGGUCGUAGUCCGGAUUGUCGUCUGCAACUCGACAGCAUGAAGUCGGAAUCGCUAGUAAUCGCGGAUCAGCAUGUCGCGGUGAAUACGUUCCCGGGUC
rnacentral:rRNA from 1 species